CCGGCGUGUUUGUGCCGCUGGAAGGCCCUGCCAGUGACUGCGGCGUAGCCUUCAGCAGAGCAGCCGGGAGACUGCGCGUUUCCACGUGCCGUCGGGUCAACACUCAACCACUGAGCCACCCUGGCUGGGCAGAUCAAACUGUGUUUUGACAACAGCAUUCAGAGGCCAAAUGCAAAGAAUGUUAAUGUCUACGCUUCUUUAAAACAUUUUUUUGGUAUAGUACGAUAUUGUAUGGCAGUGAGAAUCAUUAUAUAUUUCAACUUAUGAACCAUGAUGUAGCUGGAUCAAAUGUAAGUUCUGAUGCAGGCUCAGAUGUGUUCCAAGAUGCCUUAAGGAGACUGUUCUGUAAGGAGGCCAGGCUGUUAGAAUGCCAGGAGCGAACAUAUUUCUAAAGAUCUGGAGAACAGAGCUGGAUGGUGACAGAGGCAAGUUGCCAGGAAAUCUGUGGACUGGAAGGACUGUCCAGGCUUCACCCUGCUGAUGCGAAGAUAAGGGGUGCAGCCACCGACUUCGGUUUCUUUCAUCUCUCUGCCAGUGGGAACAAUUAUAGCCUUUCAGCUACACGUUUUUCCAUCCGAGAAGCAAGAUCAGAGGCUUAAGAAGAUUAUUUUUUUUUUGAGCGCUCCUUAGUCCCAGCCUACUUUAAAUCCAUUACAACUGCCCCAGGGCCUUUGCACUAGCUGUUCUCUGCCUUGACCAUGCCAUCAUCAGCUUUAUGUUUGCUCCUUCUCUUCAUUCAGGCCUCAGUUUAAAUGUGAACACCCAGAGAAAACUUCUCAAUAAACUCUAUAAAAAAUUCUAUAA